CUGGACCUGGGCCUGGCACUCAGACAGCAUUAUGUGAGAGCUGUUCUCAUCAGGCCAGAGGUUUAGCAAUACCUCAUUGCUACUUGUAAACAUGCCUGGUUCUGGAAGUGUCUGUGUGGGUGUGUCUGAGUUAACACAGACAUGCCCCAGGCUGGCCAACCCCACAGGCCGGACUUGUAUCUCCCCCAGCAGAGACCCCCAGGCCAGCCUCUCCUCUCCCUCCACAGCCCAGACCUAGAAGGACUGCACAGCCUGGGGACCUCAGCUCCUUCCCCUACGUGCCUGGUGAAAGGAGGGAAACAGGCAGUGAAGAAAGAAGGAGCAGAGGAGGAGACAAAAACUCACCUCUCCUGAACCCUCUGCCGAAAAGAACAAGCGGGGUCCAGUGGAGAAAGGUGAGGCAUGGGAAGGCCUGGCCCGAGCACUGUGACUUCAGCGAGGCACCCUCCACCCCUCUCAGCUUUCCUGGUCUGAAAGUAGAAUUUCG
rnacentral:lncRNA from 10 species